rnacentral:rRNA from 1 species
GACGUAGGGCGCGAGCGUUGUCCGGAUUUAUUGGGCGUAAAGAGCUCGUAGGCGGCUUGUUACGUCGACUGUGAAAACCCGCGGCUCAACUGCGGGCCUGCAGUCGAUACGGGCAGGCGUAGAGUUCGGUAGGGGAGACGUGGAAUUCCUGGUGUAGCGGUGAAAUGCGCAGAUAUCAGGAGGAACACCAGCGGCGAAGGCGGCGCUCUGGGCCGGUACUGACACUGAGGAGCGAAAGCGUGGGUAGCAAACAGG